rnacentral:rRNA from 1 species
UACGUAGGGGGCAAGCGUUGUCCGGAAUCAUUGGGCGUAAAGCGCGUGUAGGCGGCUCGGUAAGUCUGCUGUGAAAGCCCAGGGCUCAACCCUGGGAUGCCGGUGGAUACUGUCGAGCUCGAGUCCGGAAGAGGCGAGUGGAAUUCCUGGUGUAGCGGUGGAAUGCGUAGAGAUCCGGAAGAACACCGGUGGCGAAGGCGGCCCGGCUGGGCAACUGCUGACACUGAUGCGCGACAGCGUGGGGAGCAAACAGGG